GUGCUCACUUAAGCAGAACAUAUACUAAAAUUGUAAUGGUACAGAGAAUAUUAGCAUGGCUUGUGCACAAGGAUGACACACAAAUUUGUGAAGCAUUCCAUGGUUUU
ensembl:snRNA U6 U6 spliceosomal RNA